AGGGGCUUCUCCUGUUUUUUUUUUCUGCUAGCCGAUCAGUGCGCACGAGUGUUGUGAGUCUCGGGAUUCUAACCUUUCUUUUCGGGCAAACUAAAUUUUUCCUCUGCUGCCCUAAUUGAAUUAUGCAAAGGCACUGCAGCACAGCGUCUGCUAUGAGUGGUCUGUGAUUUCGAGAAAAGUAGGACUGGCCCGAAGAGAAUGACGAGCAGCGAACAGGCUAACAGUAGCACCUUACGACAUAGGAUAACGAAGAAAGAGGACAGUAUUUUGAAGAAGAGCCAGGACAACAACGAGGGCUUCAAAUUGGGACCCGGGACCGACAGUUUUCUAAACAUCAAUGAAAGACCCGUUGACGACAUUUCCAUCGAGUUUUUUUAUAAGCCACACACUAUCACUCUUCUUCUAAUCUCUAUUGGAGCAGUAAUUUAUUUCGCAUUCGUUAGGGAUGUUACUAAUGUGGAGGACAACUUAUGGGCAGGAGUGUUGUGUGUUGUGUUCUUCUUUCUAAUAAUAUCAGUCUUAACAUUUCCAAAUGGACCAUUUACAAGACCUCAUCCAGUUGUCUGGAGGAUCGUAUUUGGUUGCAGUGUACUUUACCUCAUGGGAUUGCUAUUCAUACUAUUCCAGAACUAUGAGACUGUGAAAAAAAUUCUAAUAUGGAUUGACCCAGGAUUGGCAUCAUUUCACAUUGAUAUGGACAAGGAAUAUGGAGUAAACUGUUCUGAUGUAACUUUGGAAAAAAUUUGGAAUCACAUAGAUGUGUUUGCAUUGGCACAUUUUCUUGGAUGGGCAUUUAAGGCAGUUCUUAUUCGUCAUUUUGGUAUACUUUGGGCCAUAAGCAUUAUGUGGGAAGUAACAGAAAUUGCAUUUGCCCAUUUAUUACCAAACUUUAUCGAGUGCUGGUGGGAUGCUCUGAUAUUGGAUGUCCUUGUAUGCAAUGGUCUAGGCAUUUGGGUUGGUUUAAAGAUUUGCUCCUGCUUGGAAAUGCGAGAGUACAAAUGGGUCAGUAUUCGUGACAUUGAGAGCACAACUGGAAAACUGAAAAGAGCAGUGCUGCAAUUCACACCAGGUAGUUGGACCUCUGUCAGAUGGUUGGACCCCACCUGUACUCACAUGCGAUUCGUUGCACUCUGUCAGUUGGUGAUAUUCUGGCAGGUCUCCGAACUGAAUACUUUCUUCCUAAAACAUGUCUACGAGUUUCCACCAUCUCAUCCAUUUGUUAUUUCACGCUUGGUACUCAUUGGAGUGAUUGUUGCUCCAUCAGUUAGGCAAUAUUACAUGUACGUAACAGACCCAGCGUGUAAUAGGGUGGGAACUCAAUGCUGGGUUUAUGGUGCGAUUAUGGUUACCGAAGCAUUAUUAUGUAUAAAACACGGCGCCACUCUUUUUGAACGCACUCAAGCACUCAACAUUCUUGCCUGGCUUCUCUGCCAGACUCUAGUCUCAGUUCUCUGCGUUUACGGUUGCGUUUUAUGGCAUCAGUACUUCCAGAUGGGAAAUCAAAACACGAUUGGCCAACAGGAUGCCAGUUCUGCCGAUUCCAGUAGCAGCAACGGUAUGUUUAUGUAAUCAACAAAUUAUCAUUAGGAGCCUAUUAAUGCUUGGACUUGAACCAACGUUGAACUGGGCCUAAUUACCUUUUCCUUAGUUAUUACUGAACAAUUGCCACGUGUGUCUUGAAACCUUUUUAUUGCUUGAAUAUGACUUACCACAUAUGAAGAAACCUGUGGACAAUACACUCAUUUUGUGUACGGUGUGUGUCGAAUCAUACACAACAAUUUUUUCGAAACUUCGACGAAAUAUGAAGACAUGAUGAAUGAAAAAAUUCUAUAGUUUCAGUUAACGAUUAUAAUACUUGAAAUGGUUUUCCGCCUUGGAAAUCUUAUAAGAUGCCAAGGUCAUGUUUAUUUUAAACAAAAUAUAUUAUUUUUUAUUCCGGAUUCCAUUAAGAGAUAAAAUUAUGGGCACGAGAAUGUUAAGAUACAUAGAACGUGGCUCGCUAUAAGGAAGCUCUGGUGUCCUCAGAAAACAAGCGGAUAUGACAACACAAACAGUAAUAUAUCAAAUGAUAUAUUAUUAAGUCGCUGAACUGUUGAACUGAAACUUUCUAGUCGUACGAUAACAUACGGGUAAAAGUUGGCAAGUUCGCGGAUAAUUAUUAUUAUGUUAAGGAAUGCGAGGUCCAUCUUCUUGUGUUCCUUUCGCGUGACGUGGAGGAAAUGUGCCUCAACGUUUUCUCCGCAAAUCUUGUUGGCUUAAAAUAAAUCUAGAGUAUCGUUAUCAAAUGA